rnacentral:rRNA from 1 species
UYGAGAAUCUUUCGCAAUGCCCGAAAGGGUGACGAAGCGACGCCGCGUGAGCGAAGAAGGCCUAAGGGUUGUAAAGCUCUGUCGAGGGUUAUGAAAUGUAAACAGGUUAAUACCCUGUGUAUUUGACAAAAGCCCAAGAGGAAGUCACGGCUAACUCUGUGCCAGCAGCCGCGGUAAUACAGAGGUGGCAAGCGUUGUUCGGUAUUAUUGGGCGUAAAGAGCACGUAGGUGGUUUUAUAAGUCAGGUGUGAAAGCCUUCUGUUCAAAGGAAGAACGGCAUCUGAAACUGUAGAUCUUGAGUGUAGGAGGGGAGAGUGGAACUUCUGGUGGAGCGGUGAAAUGCGUAGAUAUCAGAAGGAACGUCGGCGGCGAAAGCGACUCUCUGGCCUAUUACUGACACUGAGGUGCGAAAGUUAGGGGAGCAGACGGGACUAGAUACCCCGGUAGUCCUCACCGUAAACGAUGGGCACUAAGUAGAGGGAAUUACCCAUGUUCUCUCUGCCGUAGCUAACGCAUUAAGUGCCCCGCCUGGGGAGUACGGCCGCAAGGCUA